rnacentral:tRNA from 1 species
GGGCUGGUAGCUCAGCUGGUUAGAGCGCCGGCCUGUCAAGCCGGAGGUCGCGAGUUCGAUCCUCGUCCAGCCCGCCA